AUGACGCCGGUGCAGCGGGGGGGCCCAGAGGGGGGCGGAGCUCAGGGAGGCAAGGCCGAGGAUAAGGAGUGCAUGCCCGUCACCAACUGCGCCGCUUGGUCAAGGACAUGAAGAUCAAGUCCCUGGAGGAGAUCUACCUCUUCUCCCUGCCCAUUAAGGAAUCUGAGAUCAUUGACUUUCUCUUGGGGGCCUCUCUCAAAGACGAGGUUUUGAAAAUUAUGCCCGUGCAGAAGCAGACCCAUGCUGGCCAGCGCACCAGGUUCAAGGCCUUUGUUGCUAUCGGGGACUACAAUGGCCACGUCGGCCUGGGUGUUAAGUGCUCCAAGGAGGUGGCCAUCGGCGUCUGUGGGGCCAUCAUCCUGGCCAAACUUUCCAUUGUCCCCGUGCGCAGAGGCUACUGGGGGAACAAGACUGUCAAGCUCCACACCGUCCCUUGCAAGGUGACAGGCCGCUGCGGCUCUGUGCUGGUGCGCCUCAUCCGUGCACCCAGGGGCACUGGCUUCGUCUCAGCGCCUGUGGCCAAGAAGCUGUUCAUGAUGACUCGUAUCCAUGACUGUUACACCUCAGCCCGGGGCUGCACUGCCACCCUGGGCAACUUCGCCAAGGCCACCUUUGAUGCCAUCUGUAAGACCUACAGCUACCUGACCCCUGACCUCUGGAAGGAGACUGUAUUUACCAAGUCUCCCUAUCAGGAAUUCACUGACCACCUUGUCAAGACCCGCACCAGAGUCUCCGUGCCGCGGACCCAGGCUCCAGCUGUGGCUACAACAUAGGGUUUUUAUACAAGAAAAAUAAAGUGAAUUAAG